rnacentral:lncRNA from 1 species
UAUGGCUAUAUUUUUUGAAUAUGUGUAUGUGAUAUGCAUAUUUGUCUCUUCUAAAUAAAAGUUAGAGACAGAAGAGUAAAAAAAUGAAAAAAAAAAACAUAAAAAGAAAAAAAAUGAAGAAAAGAGAAAUGAAAAAAAAGGAAGAAAGAGAAAUAGAAGUGUAAAGAAAAAGAAAAUAAACAAACAAAAUAAAAUAGAAAAAAGAAGAAAACGAAAAUAGAAAAAAAAGAUAUG